CAACUUUCAGCAACGGAUCUCUUGGCUCUCGCAUCGAUGAAGAACGCAGCGAAAUGCGAUAAGUAAUGUGAAUUGCAGAAUUCAGUGAAUCAUCGAAUCUUUGAACGCACCUUGCGCCCUUUGGCUAUUCUGAAGGGCAUGCCUGUUUGAGUAUCAUG
rnacentral:rRNA from 2 species